AACGCUGGCGGCAGGCUUAACACAUGCAAGUCGAGCGCCCCGCAAGGGGAGCGGCAGACGGGUGAGUAACGCGUGGGAACGUACCUUUUGCUACGGAAUAACUCAGGGAAACUUGUGCUAAUACCGUAUGUGCCCUUCGGGGGAAAGAUUUAUCGGCAAAGGAUCGGCCCGCGUUGGAUUAGCUAGUUGGUGAGGUAAAGGCUCACCAAGGCGACGAUCCAUAGCUGGUCUGAGAGGAUGAUCAGCCACACUGGGACUGAGACACGGCCCAGACUCCUACGGGAGGCAGCAGUGGGGAAUAUUGGACAAUGGGCGCAAGCCUGAUCCAGCCAUGCCGCGUGAGUGAUGAAGGCCCUAGGGUUGUAAAGCUCUUUCACCGGUGAAGAUAAUGACGGUAACCGGAGAAGAAGCCCCGGCUAACUUCGUGCCAGCAGCCGCGGUAAUACGAAGGGGGCUAGCGUUGUUCGGAUUUACUGGGCGUAAAGCGCACGUAGGCGGACUUU
rnacentral:rRNA from 1 species